rnacentral:rRNA from 1 species
GACGAACGCUGGCGGCGUGCUUAACACAUGCAAGUCGAACGAAGAGCGGUGGAAGCUUGCUUCUAUCAAUCUUAGUGGCGAACGGGUGAGUAACGCGUAAUCAACCUGCCCUUCAGAGGGGGACAACAGUUGGAAACGACUGCUAAUACCGCAUACGAUCUAAUCUCGGCAUCGAGGAUAGAUGAAAGGUGGCCUCUACAUGUAAGCUAUCACUGAAGGAGGGGAUUGCGUCUGAUUAGCUAGUUGGAGGGGUAACGGCCCACCAAGGCGAUGAUCAGUAGCCGGUCUGAGAGGAUGAACGGCCACAUUGGGACUGAGGCACGGCCCAGACUCCUACGGGAGGCAGCAGUGGGGAAUCUUCCGCAAUGGACGAAAGUCUGACGGAGCAACGCCGCGUGAGUGAUGACGGCCUUCGGGUUGUAAAGCUCUGUUAAUCGGGACGAAAGGCCUUCUUGCGAAUAGUGAGAAGGAUUGACGGUACCGGAAUAGAAAGCCACGGCUAACUACGUG